GAUGAACGCUGGCGGCGUGCCUAAUACAUGCAAGUCGAGCGAACGGACGAGAAGCUUGCUUCUCUGAUGUUAGCGGCGGACGGGUGAGUAACACGUGGAUAACCUACCUAUAAGACUGGGAUAACUUCGGGAAACCGGAGCUAAUACCGGAUAAUAUUUUGAACCGCAUGGUUCAAAAGUGAAAGACGGUCUUGCUGUCACUUAUAGAUGGAUCCGCGCUGCAUUAGCUAGUUGGUAAGGUAACGGCUUACCAAGGCAACGAUGCAUAGCCGACCUGAGAGGGUGAUCGGCCACACUGGAACUGAGACACGGUCCAGACUCCUACGGGAGGCAGCAGUAGGGAAUCUUCCGCAGUGGGCGAAAGCCUGACGGAGCAACGCCGCGUGAGUGAUGAAGGUCUUCGGAUCGUAAACUCUGUUAUUAGGGAAGAACAUAUGUGUAAGUAACUGUGCACAUCUUGACGGUACCUAAUCAGAAAGCCACGGCUAACUACGUG
rnacentral:rRNA from 1 species